GAAGACUCCAGAAUCCACUCUGGCUGGAAUCCGGUGGAUACAGCAGUGUUUACAGUUUGCCAGAACAGUUCUCCACAGUCACUGUCCACAUGGGUCAGUGGGACCAAGCAGCACUCUGCUAAUGUGUGGACUCUGACCAGCAACAUCCAGCAAGACCCAGACAGCGUUUUCUAUUUCCCAGCUGGAGUUUUUUUGUUUGUCUGUGACUGGAGAGUCAGAUUUUGUUGAGGCUGGAGGAACAGCCUCACACUUGCAGAGGUUAAUACAUGCUACUGAUCCCUGAUGGGAGAAUCAUCACCUCUGCCAGCAAAGAAGCCUGGUGGAUGUUUGUUUACAGUCUGAUGAUGGGACAUCAUGCUCUGCAUCUUCAAAGUUUGUCUCUUGAUUAUUAUUCAUACACAGUAAUGUGAAGUAUGCUCAUAUCUAGUAUAACUGGACCAACCUGGUGCUCUUCAUUUAUGGAGGCUGCAGAGUCUGAAUGUUGGAUGUUGUGUAUCUCGUGUUCUCUGGGCUUUGUUGUCCUCAGUCUUUUUGCAGGAUCAGAAAACAAAACCAGGAGGCCUGUAACUGUUUCUUUUCCAGUUGGAUGAUGAUAAGACUGUGACACGGGAUGCCACCUUUAGUCUUGUGAUGAGGCAAAGCUCAGGAAGAAGUGUGAUUAAAUGGUACCCACAUGUGUGCUGCUGAGAAGGAUGUACAGGGGCACCU